UACAUUAUCGAAUAAACUUGUCCGAGUGUCCGAGGCGGCCGGUACAUUCACUGUGAAAAGAUUAGAGUGCUCAGAGCGAGCCCCGCCGGCUUGCAUACGAAAUGCAUG